rnacentral:rRNA from 1 species
UAAGGAAUAUUGGUCAAUGGGCGCAAGCCUGAACCAGCCACGCCGCGUGCAGGAUGAAGGCCCUCUGGGUUGUAAACUGCUUUUUCCAGGGACGAAAUCCCCGUUUCUACGGGAGUUGACGGUACCUGGUGAAUAAGCACCGGCUAACUCCGUGCCAGCAGCCGCGGUAAUACGGAGGGUGCAAGCGUUAUCCGGAUUUACUGGGUUUAAAGGGUGCGUAGGCGGACGUUUAAGUCAGUGGUGAAAGCCUCCCGCUUAACGGGAGAAAUGCCAUUGAUACUAUUCGUCUCGAAUUCGGUUGAGGUAGAUGGAACGUGACAUGUAGCGGUGAAAUGCUUAGAUAUGUCACAGAACACCAAUUGCGAAGGCAGUCUACUAAGCCGACAUUGACGCUGAGGCACGAAAGCGUGGGGAUCAAACAGGAUUAGAUACCCCCGUAGUCC